rnacentral:rRNA from 1 species
UGGGGAAUCUUGGACAAUGGGCGCAAGCCUGAUCCAGCCAUGCCGCGUGAGUGAAGAAGGCCUUAGGGUUGUAAAGCUCUUUUACCAGGGACGAUAAUGACGGUACCUGGAGAAUAAGCCCCGGCAAACUUCGUGCCAGCAGCCGCGGUAAUACGAAGGGGGCUAGCGUUGUUCGGAAUUACUGGGCGUAAAGGGUGCGCAGGCGGUUUGUUAAGACAGGUGUGAAAUCCCCGGGCUUAACCUGGGAAUUGCGCUUGUAACUGGCAGGCUAGAGUGUGGCAGAGGGGGGUGGAAUUCCACGUGUAGCAGUGAAAUGCGUAGAUAUGUGGAGGAACACCGAUGGCGAAGGCAGCCCCCUGGGUUAACACUGACGCUCAUGCACGAAAGCGUGGGGAGCAAACAGGAUUAGAUACCCCAGUAGUCCCUGAGCGGGCUGGCAAGGCGCAU